AGCCAAUCACCUGAACAAUUAUUUUGCCGUCAAUCCAGCAUAAAUUCAUCUGAAUAUAAGGGAAGAAAUGACAUAACGUAUAUUAAUCCCUCAAAUAUAACAUAUUCUAAAUGAAGUCAAGCUAAGAAGUAACUUGACAAAUCCUAACUUAUACGGGUUUUUGGACGGGUAGACUACAGACACCCCUGUUUUACAAAGCUGAUGAUCAAUAAACAAAUAUAAUUGAAAGCUGAAACACAGAAUUACAUUUCACUUCAUCGAAGGUUACAUGAAGUUGGUACAUGACAUAAUGUACAAUCUUAUUUAUGUACAAGAAUGGGGAGCCCCAGCACCCAGGCACAUUACCAAAUCCCUUCCUUGGACAGUCUUAGAAACUGCGAAAGGGUAAUGCGGGGGAUCUCGGCUGAACCUUUUUUCUUCUUCUUAAUCCUUGUCAUUUUCAAAGAUUCCUCAUCCUUUGAUUCUGUAACUGUUACUGAGACCAAAUUAUAGAACUGUUCAAAAACAGAUUUUAUUACGGAUUAGAUGGUCUGCCUUAAUCUUCAGUAAACAAUCAAUCAACAAAUGCACAUCGACCAUUAAUUUUACUAUUAUCUAAGAGAUCUCUAACAUCAUCAUCUGAUUACAUGGCUUUCAGUCCGGUAUGAAAUGUGGCCUCCAAAUGAAACAACUUAUGAGACAAGUUACCUCACAGACACCAUGCAGCAACAACCUAUGAAAUGAAUCUUGAACUCGUAGCACAAGCUCAUCUGCAUCUUUGCUCUCCUCAAUGAAGGCUCGUAUGCAAACCUGUGAUUAAAAGGAUUUUAACUCCUAAUAACAAUAAAAUCUGUUAACAAGCCAUGCAUUAAAAAGACAAAGACCGGGCAGAUAUACCAGCUGGUUGACACAUAAUUAAUACAGAAUAAAGAUGAGACUUUAAUAUUUUAAAUCCUUCAUAAAACCAAAUGGAUACUCUUACCAACUUAUUUUUGGAUUAUAAAAAUUUAAUGCCAAACAGAUAUUAUGAUCCUCGCUACAGAGAACAUAAAAUGAAUUGCAAUUAACAGAGUAAAGAAAAAAAGGAUGAAUAUAAAUAUGUACCUCGAAGCCCUCAAUAAGUUCUGGAAGAUAGCUACGGCGAAAUGCAUCUCUUGUUCGACAAUCGAUUCUGCGCCAUGCAUUCAAGACAGCUAUCUUAUCAGUGUCAACAUGACAUUUCCUCUUCAGGGUCGAACCAUUUAAGGCUUUAAUGAUAUUAGCCUGCCACAAACAAAAGAUGAUUGCAGUUGGAGCAUUUUGGCACAUUACAUGUCAAAUUAACACAAAGCAUUGUAUUGGAGUCUGCAUCCACACAAAUCUCACAAAACUGCAGGUUAUUCAGGCAUAUACUUUCUUGACAGCAGAAGAAAUUUGAAAGAUCAAAACUAGUUUUGGUGAUUAAGAGAAGUAAAAAGACCUCUUUAUCCAUGUCUAUAUUCCUGAAUUUGUCCCACUCUCCAUAGUUAGUCAUACAAAAUGGUGAUGGCGGCACUUUGUCACCUGCAAAAUGAACUCAAAAUCAAUGCUAAAAUAACUGAUUUUGCAAAUUACUGCCACAAAGGUGCAAGUGACUUCAGAGAUGCCAAAAAUAAAAGUUGUGCUCCUGUUGUUCCCCAACAGAAAGAACGAAGAGUGUACUUAAAUUUGCUGAGUAGUAUCAAAGUUAGUACACACACAAACAUACGACGACUAUAUCCAAAUAAACUUGACCGUAUUAUGAUAUAAGAAGUUAAGCAAAUUUCCGUAUUGAUAAGAAAAUAAGAACCAAUCCGAACUCCACUACUGCAACAUGUAUAUUGCACACGGCUCACCUCAAAUACCCACAGAUAACUUGACACAAGAAAGACAACCUUGGUGUAAAUGUAAAGAAUUACAGAAACAAGAUAGUAUUCAAUUCUCUUGCAUUUGCUUGUCAGCAAAUUUCAUAUCGGAACAACUAAACCAAAUUAGUAUGCCAAGUAAGUGCCCUAGGGCAACUUGAUAAGGCAGCGUGCUUGAAUGAGCCAAAAGCACACACAGACACAUACUGAUAAAGAUAGCAGUUAUUUGAGCAUUAUAAAUAGGAAAAUCAAGGCAGAAAAUUACCCCAAGGUGGUGGAGCAAACAAGCCUCUAAUUUCAUCGGCAUCUAACCGUGGAACAAGUUCCAUCAACAACGAUCAUUUAACCACAUUCGAGACUGCUGAUUGCUAACCUGCAACAAAAUAAAAUGAGCCCCAAUAUGAUUAAUGAACUUGCACAAAUUAUAUGGAUUCUGUCUUUGUUCUGAAAAACAUAAGAUCAAAAGGAACCGUAGCGAAAAUACACGAACAAAAACACCUCAAAUAUCUUCAGCAGAACAAGUAGUGAUCAACAAAAUACAGUCCAAUGAAAUUGGCUUACUGCUUAUUGUAUUACAAUGAAGUGAUUUUAUCAUAUAACAUUGGAUAUCGGAUACCACCAAAUUGGAUGGUACAAAUGUAAAUGUUAUCUUAAAGAUGUCUUGUACAAGGUAUCGAAACAUGAUCAAGAAACACUCCAGGGAAUCAUUAUUUGAACGUAAUGAUUGACAUUUAUUGGAGUUGAUCACACACGCAUAAUGGAAAUCACUUGAAAUCUAAACUAACAGAGAGCCUUCCAUCACAGUAAUAGCUUUUCCUCGCAGCUGCACUCUCUGAUUCUGCUUGUCUACAUGAAUGUUCAAGAUCCCACUUCUUGGUGAUGCCUGAGUCAGGUAAAAUGUAAUCAACAUAUAACAAUUAGAAGGAAUAUGAAUAGACAUAAAUUAGAGAGAAAUGGAUGCAAAGAGAGUACCGCGUAAGCCACAAAAUCACACUUUCCAAGCUUUUGACUCCAAUAGGUUGCCAAAGCACAAUGUGCACUCCCACAAACGGGAUCCUGAUAUAAACAAGUCAUGUACAUAUAAGACUGUUACUAGAACUGUUUCAAUAUUGACAGAGUUUUUGAAAAUUACUUCCAUCUUACUUAUUGGAUCCUAAACUACAGUACCACACAUAAAAGAAAGUUCUUUGUUCUCUUACAUAGACAUUUUACUUCAAAUGCCAAAAAUCCUUCUUGAAAUCAAAACAGAGCAAUCUACACUAGACUUUAGAGGCACUAUAUGUUUCGAAGUUAGUAAAUGGGUGAAAAGCUAGUAGGAAAUGAGCAAUAAUUUUGUUCACUUUCAGCUGUAACAUUUCACUCAAUUUGCAGGCCUUAUUACUCAUCAGAUUUUCUAAAACAGAAAUGAUAGUCAAUGCACAUCGCCAUGUAGCAUGAGUUAUGACAAAUGUACAUGCUCAUAAUAUAGUAGUAUAUAAACUCAUUCAUUAAAACCAACGAGUUAUUACCUCAUUGAUGCCAAAUUUAGGGCAGAAGAAUCGGCUAUAAAAAUCAAAUCCAGACUCUGGAGGAGCAAGCCCUGAAACAAUUAUGCCGCUUCCAGGACAUUUUCGUAUUUCAUCAAACUGUGGCUCCACGUCUGUAACAGAUUUCGCCGAUGGGAGCACCACCUGCAUAUUGUAGCCAACUUCAUUCAGAACAACUACUAACACUAUAUCCAAAUGAGUAAAGGGUUAAAAGAAAUUACAAAGAUAUCUUCUGAGGUAGUUGUUAUCUUCAUAUCCAUGACUGAAGAAACACUCAAAGCCUUGUGAAUUAAGGAAACCUCAGAAAAAUUAAAAUCAGUAGUUGGAACUAUAGGAAAAUCCAAUUCAAUAAAAUAGCACUCUUGUGCUUCGCCUUUCUGUGAAUUAGAGUCAUUCAUCGCCUUAACAUCUGGAACUUUUUUGGCUGUUAGAAUUCCAGACAGUGUGGCAAAUUCAAUUAUGUUGGAGUUUACCAAACCUCUCGAAAAGAGAGUGUGUGCAGCUGCUAAUGUUGCAUGACCACAAAGUUCAACCUGCAAAAAACUUAUCCUGAAAUUAAAAUACACUCUCCUUUGUGUUGGAGUAAGUGUCAUAUGCAUAAAAAACUAUGACAUGAACACAUGAAAAUAUAUGAAGCCUAAUGAUCAGAAAUAAUAUCAUUCAAGAUAAAAAUUUAGCUAUAAUCUUCCUUCAGAACUAAAAGAAGCAUAGCACAUAAAUAAGAGUAAACAUUCCACAAUGAUGGAAUGAUGAAAUAACUAAAACCCCAUGAAAUAAGAUAAAUCAUCAAGCUCCAGAACUGAGCCAAAUAGCUUCAUCCACAACUUAUAAUUAUAAAAACUGAAACUGACCUCAGCAACAGUAGUGAACCAUCUAAGACGGAACCUCGGAUUAGGCGAUUCAGCAUCAGUAAGGCGAGUCAAGUAACAGGUCUCGGAGAUAUUGAACUCAGAAGCCACAGCUUGUAGCCAUUCUUCAUCUCUAUCUUCCUCUAACAAACAAACCGCUGCCGGGUUCCCCUUGAAAGCUGAGUCAGUAAAAGCAUCCACCUGUCAAAGCAACAAAAAGAACCCAGUCCCAUUCAACCACAACGGAACAUCAAUCUAUAUACAAAAGAGGAGAUUACUAUUAGUUACCACAUAGUAUUGUACGAGCUUCUUGGCCAUGUUGCAGAAUAAAGAAUGAAGUUUAGAGUUUGACACGUGAAACUUGGAGUUGCAGAGCUGAAACCCGAAACUGAGAUGAAGGAAAUGGUCAACCUAACAGCCGCCAACCUACUGUCUUUUUCUUUAUAUUUUUUCCUUUCUUUCCACGCUUCUUCCCCUCUCGUUAAUCACGGACGCUUGGCACAUUCGAUUGGACUGUGCAUGACACAAUAAGAUUUGUUUUUCUUAAAAUUAUCUUGUAUUCUGCCUACUACAACCAACUGAUUAACUUAAUUUACAAGAAAAGAAUUUUCUUAAAUAGUAGAAUCAAGUGAGGCAAUGAAUAAAUUUUAUUUGACUGUGAAUUAUAUUAAAUAUAAUUUAGAGAGACUCAUGAGGAAAUUAAAUAUACUAAUAUCAAUUUAUUAAUUAUUAAAUAAUGUUUAUUUAAUAAUAACAUUGAUAAAUAAAAUUUUUAUUUAAAUUUUAUGUAUGCCAUUCAUUUAUAAAUUCAUUGAAUAGAUGACUUGUCAAUAAAAUUUUUACUGUAGAAUAAAAAUUGUACAAUUUAUCAUAGAUAAAUUCACGAUAUAGAAAGUAUAAUUUCUGAACUUGUUAUGCGCGUAGAUAAAACUUCGUUACAAGGUAUCGAACAAUUAUCAAAUCAUUGUAUGACAUAUCGUUUCUAAGUACAUCACAUAGAUGCCAUGUUCGAAAAGUUUACGGAACGCGUUUAAUAUGACACGAAUAACUUUAACACAUAGAUAAACAUCUCAUUAAUAACUGAUUCAACACCGGUAGGACAUGUUCAAAACUUCAAGGACCACAAAACCUAACCCACCUUGCAGGAAGCUGAAAUGCCACCAACCAAGCAAAUUAUUCAAAUAAACCCCUUCAAAUUCUAUGAAAAAGCCAAUCACCUGAACAAUUAUUUUGCCGUCAAUCCAGCAUAAAUUCAUCUGAAUAUAAGGGAAGAAAUGACAUAACGUAUAUUAAUCCCUCAAAUAUAACAUAUUCUAAAUGAAGUCAAGCUAAGAAGUAACUUGACAAAUCCUAACUUAUACGGGUUUUUGGACGGGUAGACUACAGACACCCCUGUUUUACAAAGCUGAUGAUCAAUAAACAAAUAUAAUUGAAAGCUGAAACACAGAAUUACAUUUCACUUCAUCGAAGGUUACAUGAAGUUGGUACAUGACAUAAUGUACAAUCUUAUUUAUGUACAAGAAUGGGGAGCCCCAGCACCCAGGCACAUUACCAAAUCCCUUCCUUGGACAGUCUUAGAAACUGCGAAAGGGUAAUGCGGGGGAUCUCGGCUGAACCUUUUUUCUUCUUCUUAAUCCUUGUCAUUUUCAAAGAUUCCUCAUCCUUUGAUUCUGUAACUGUUACUGAGACCAAAUUAUAGAACUGUUCAAAAACAGAUUUUAUUACGGAUUAGAUGGUCUGCCUUAAUCUUCAGUAAACAAUCAAUCAACAAAUGCACAUCGACCAUUAAUUUUACUAUUAUCUAAGAGAUCUCUAACAUCAUCAUCUGAUUACAUGGCUUUCAGUCCGGUAUGAAAUGUGGCCUCCAAAUGAAACAACUUAUGAGACAAGUUAC
rnacentral:lncRNA from 1 species